CAGUCGCCACGGGAAUACAGAGGGUGCAAGCGUUAAUCGGAAUUACUGGGCGUAAAGCGCGCGUAGGUGGUUUGUUAAGUUGGAUGUGAAAUCCCCGGGCUCAACCUGGGAACUGCAUCCAAAACUGGCAGGCUAGAGUAGGGCAGAGGGUGGUGGAAUUUCCUGUGUAGCGGUGAAAUGCGUAGAUAUAGGAAGGAACACCAGUGGCGAAGGCGACCACCUGGGCUCAUACUGACACUGAGGUGCGAAAGCGUGGGGAGCAAACAGGAUUAGAUACCCCCGUAGUCCCUGUCUCUUAUAA
rnacentral:rRNA from 1 species